CCUCCACUCCCCCCCUUUAUUACCCUUUGUGUCAUCCUCCACAGCUCCAGGGAAGGCACUCAAAAGUGGGGGGCAGGAAAGAUGUACAUUGAAGAUGUCAGUUUCUACAUGUGGGAAGUAGACAUUGAAGGCUUUAUGGUUUACAGACAAGAUCUUUAGAAGUUAAGCACUAAAGGACCAAGGAAAUAAAUACCAGAAAUCAAGAAGAGCACAGACUAUUUUCCUUCAUCAAUCCAUAGAACCCUAAUGCUUCUUUAGUUCCAUCAAACACAGAGGAAUGACCACCAUGGCAGAUGGCAACAGAGGAUGUCAACAAUUUUUUGGAGAGAGAAGAGGUACUCCCUUAUAGGGACUCGUAAAGACGUAGAGCAUCUGGAAAUUAACUGCCUCCAUUACACUGCUGAGUCACACACAACGCUUGUUAUGUUUUCAUCACUUCUCUCCAGAAGCACCCACACAGACACACCCAGGAUUAAUAAUUUGUAUCCUUCAAUCCAAUCAAGUUGAUACUCAGUAUUAACCAUCACAGGAAGCAAGGGGUAUAUGGGAGUCUCUGUACUUUCCACUCCAUUUUGCUAUGAAACUAAAACUGCUCUGAAAAAUAAACUCUAUUUGAAAAGAAAAAGAAGAAGAAGAAGAGGAAGAGGAAGAAGAAAUGGAAAAACUUUAAAAGGGAAAUUUUUUAAAUGACAUUUUAUAAAUUUAUGUUUAAAAUUAAGUUUAGACUUACACAAACACAAAUAACAUCUGUCAACAUCCCACUACACACUUUUGAAAAUGCUAGAUUAUGAUAUAUUCUUAAAAAUGGAAUCAGUAGAUCAAAUAGUAAAUAAAUUGAAAGAUUAUACCAAUUUACAUUUCUACCAACAGUGUUUGAAAGAAUGAGAAUGUCACUUUCUCUAUAGUUUUGUCAACAUUUGACAUUAACUUUAUUUUUUACAAAACCUGAUACAAUAAAAGUAUAUGGCAUUUUAAUUUUCAUUUGUGUGAUUACUACUGAGCAUGAGUAUCUUUUUAUAUUUUUAUUUGAAUUUUAAGUUCUUUUAUGAAUGUCCCAUUCAUGAGCCAUGCCAAAUUUUUCUUGUGGAGGGGUCUUUGAAUUUUAUGUAGACUGAUAAGAAUCAUAAUCAUAUUAAGAAUAUUAAAUCUGUAAAUCAUAUAUAUCACAAUUAUGUCUUCUUUUUUAUUUUUAAUGUUUUGUGUGCUUUAUUUUUGUUAUAUAAUGCUAUCAUUUUUAUGAGCUUAAAUCUAUCAUCUUUUUCAUGGCUUUUGGGUUUUGAUGUUUCUUUGUACCUUGGCUUUAUUUUUUAAAAAAACUAUUAUAGAAAGUCAGAAACAGAGGAGUUGACAGGAUAAUAAAAUGAACCCCCAUGUACCUCAAAUCUGGCUUCAUUAGUUGAGAAUUCAUGGCCAAUCUUGUUUCAUUUAUACCUCCUGUAUUAUUCUGAAGCAAAUCCCAGGCAUUAUAUGAUUUUCUCUGUUACUAUUUCAGUGUAUAUACUAACUUUAGAUGGAAUUUUGCCUAACCCAUGUUUUACAUCUGCCAUAGUUUGGCUGAAAUCACUGACUUCCACUACAAUAUACUUAUGUUAUAUCAAACAUCAGCAUUAAGCCUGGGCAACAUAGACCCUGUCUCUGAAAAGAAAAAUUAACUGGGCAUGGUGAUGUGUGCCUAUAAUUCUAGCUAUUCAGAGGCUGAAGCGGGCGAAUGGCUUGAGCCAAGGAGUUUUGAGGCUAUAGUGAGCCAUGACUGCACCAUUGCACUCCAGUCUGGGCAACAGAGUGAGAUCUUGUCUUUAAAAAAGAAAAUCAGCAUUGGCUAAGAUUAUUGUUAUUUAAUUUACUAUUUUAAAAUGGCCUCUAUAAAAGUUUAAUUAUUUUAAUAUGGCAUGCCUCACCAGCCUCCCUCAUGCCAUCCUGUCCUGCAUUCUCUGCUCUAGCCUUUUAAUUCCCUGAGCAAGUAAGCCCCUAGAAACUUCUCUAUAUGCUAUUCUCUCUAUCCAAAAUGUUCUUGCCCCAAACUUCCCCACCUCC
rnacentral:sRNA from 1 species